rnacentral:rRNA from 1 species
UACGUAGGGUGCGAGCGUUGUCCGGAAUUAUUGGGCGUAAAGAGCGUGUAGGCGGCCAGGUAGGUCUGCUGUGAAAACUCGAGGCUUAACCUCGAGAUGUCGGCGGAAACCAUCUGGCUAGAGUCCGGAAGAGGAGAAUGGAAUUCCCGGUGUAGCGGUGAAAUGCGCAGAUAAUCGGGAAGAACACCCGUGGCGAAGGCGGUUCUCUGGGACGGUACUGACGCUGAGACGCGAAAGCGUGGGGAGCGAACAGG